CCUACGGGAGGCAGCAGUAGGGAAUCUUCCACAAUGGGCGAAAGCCUGAUGGAGCAACGCCGCGUGGGUGAAGAAGGUCUUCGGAUCGUAAAACCCUGUUGUUAGAGAAGAAAGUGCGUGAGAUUAACUGUUCACGUUUCGACUUUAUCUAACAAGACAGCCACGGCUAACUACGUGCCAGCAUCCGCGGUAAUACGUAGGUGGCAAGCGUUACCCGGAUUUAUUGUGCGUAAAGGGAACGCAGGCGGUCUUUUAAGUCUGAUGGGAAAGCCUUGGGCUUAACCGGAGUAGUGCAUUGGAAACUGGGAGACUUGAGUGCAGAAGAGGAGAGUGGAACUCCAUGUGUAGCGGUGAAAUGCGUAGAUAGAUGGAAGAACACCAGUGGCGAAAGCGGCUCUCUGGUCUGUAACUGACGCUGAGGUUCGAAAGCGUGGGUAGCAAACAGGAUUAGAUACCCCAGUAGUC
rnacentral:rRNA from 1 species